rnacentral:rRNA from 1 species
UACGAAGGGAGCAAGCGUUGUUCGGUUUGAUUGGGCGUAAAGCGCGCGUAGGCGGCUGCGCAAGUCGAGAAGUUAAACAACGGAGCUCAACUCCGUUACGCUUCCGAUACUACGCGGCUUGAGCUUGAUGGGGAUGAACGGAACUCCAAGUGUAGAGGUGAAAUUCGUUGAUAUUUGGAGGAACACCAGAGGCGGAAGCGGUUCAUCAUGUCGAGUCUGACGCUAAUGCGCUAAAGCGUGGGGAGCAAACAGGAUUAGAUACCCCCGUAGUCC